rnacentral:rRNA from 1 species
GACGAACGCUGGCGGCGUGCUUAACACAUGCAAGUCGAACGGAAAGGCCCUGCUUUUGUGGGGUGCUCGAGUGGCGAACGGGUGAGUAACACGUGAGUAACCUGCCCUUGACUUUGGGAUAACUUCAGGAAACUGGGGCUAAUACCGGAUAGGAGCUCCUGCUGCAUGGUGGGGGUUGGAAAGUUUCGGCGGUUGGGGAUGGACUCGCGGCUUAGCAGCUUGUUGGUGGGGUAGUGGCUUACCAAGGCUUUGACGGGUAGCCGGCCUGAGAGGGUGGCCGGCCACAUUGGGACUGCGAUACGGACCAGCCUCGUACGGGGGGCAGCAGUGGGGAGUAUUGCACAAUGGGCGGAAGCCUGAGGAAGCAGCGCCGCGUGCGGGAUGACGGCCUUCGGGUUGUAAACCGCUUUCGCCUGUGACGAAGCGUGAGUGACGGUAAUGGGUAAAGAAGCACCGGCUAACUACGUG